GCAGGUAUAACUCAGUGGUAGAGUACAUGCUUAGCAUGCAUGAGGUCCUAGGUUCAAUCCCCAGUACCACCA
rnacentral:tRNA from 1 species